rnacentral:lncRNA from 1 species
GUGAGAAUGAGGAGGCUGAUACAGUGGAGCAUUUGAUGCAUCCGCGUCAAGUGUUUUCUGCUGAUUCACAAAGUCCUCCAUUUUGCAUGUACCGGAGGCAGGAACAGAAGUUGCCGAUAGAUUUUCAGGAGCUGCUGAUGUUAAAAGUGAAUUGUCCAAAGCAGGAACCUUAUUCUCAGACCUUGGGGAUGAACUGGGACAUUCACAUUCCAGAUCUUUGUUAUUAUUUGAUACAUCCGUGUCAACUGUUUUUUGCUGAUUCAUAAAGCCCUCCAUUUUGCAUGUACCGGAAGCAGGUGCAGAAGUUGCCAUUACAUUUUCAGAAGCUGCUGAUGUUAAAGGUGAAUUAUCCAUAGCAGGAACCUUGUUCUCAGACCUUGGGGAUGAACUGGGACAUUCACAUUCCAGAUCUUUGUUAUUAUUUGAUGCAUCCACCUCAAGUGUUUUUUGCUGAUCCGCAAAACCCUCCAUUUUGCACGUACCGGAAGCAGGUUCAGAAGUUGCUGUUAGAUUUUCGGGAGCUGCUGAUGUUAAAAGUGAGAUGUCCAUAGCAGGAACCUUGUUCUCAGACCUUGGGGAUGAACUGGGACAUUCACAUUCCAGAUCUUUGUUAUUAUUUGAUGCAUCCACCUCAAGUGUUUUUUGCUGAUUCACAAAACCCUCCAUUUUGCAUGUACCGGAAGCAGGUUCGGAAAUUGUCGUUAGAUUUUCGGGAGCUGCUGAUGUUAAAACUGAAUUGUCCGUAGCAGGAACCUUAUUCUCAGACCUUGGGGAUGAACUGGGACAUUCACAUUCCAGAUCUUUGUUAUUAGGAGAAGAUGAAGGGGAAACCUUUGAUUGAGGAGAAUGGUUAUCUGAAGAAUUUGAUGCAACCGCCUCAGGUACCUUUUUC